UGGGGAAUAUUGCACAAUGGGGGAAACCCUGAUGCAGCGACGCCGCGUGAGCGAAGAAGGCCUUCGGGUCGUAAAGCUCUUUUAUGAGGGAAGAUAAUGACGGUACCUCAAGAAAAAGCCCCGGCUAACUACGUGCCAGCAGCCGCGGUAAUACGUAGGGGGCUAGCGUUGUCCGGAAUCACUGGGCGUAAAGGGUUCGCAGGCGGAAUAACAAGUCAGAUGUGAAAGGCAUGGGCUCAACCCAUGAAAGCAUUUGAAACUGUAAUUCUUGAGAAGUGGAGAGGUAAGUGGAAUUCCUAGUGUAGCGGUGAAAUGCGUAGAUAUUAGGAGGAAUACCUGUGGCGAAGGCGACUUACUGGACACAAAUCUGACGCUGAGGAACGAAAGCGUGGGUAGCAAACAGG
rnacentral:rRNA from 1 species